AGCAGCAGCCGCGGGAAUAUAGAGGGUGCGAGCGUUAAUCGGAUUUACUGGGCGUAAAGCGUGCGUAGGCGGCUUCUUAAGUCGGAUGUGAAAUCCCUGAGCUUAACUUAGGAAUUGCAUUCGAUACUGGGAAGCUAGAGUAUGGGAGAGGAUGGUAGAAUUCCAGGUGUAGCGGUGAAAUGCGUAGAGAUCUGGAGGAAUACCGAUGGCGAAGGCAGCCAUCUGGCCUAAUACUGACGCUGAGGUACGAAAGCAUGGGGAGCAAACAGGAUUAGAUACCCCCGUAGUCCCUGUCUCUUAUAC
rnacentral:rRNA from 1 species